CAUUCGUAAAAAUAUACUAAUCUGUAAUUUCAUACACUAUGAUUGAAAAGUCAGAGUCAUAUGUACAUGUUUGGCGAACUCAUAGACAGAAGUUAACCAUAUUGACAGAUGAUUACUUAAAAAUUUAAAUUAAAUAAAUACUUACCAAACCAAAAAUACAACAUCCCUAACAACACACAACAUUCCAGGAAUGUACUACCAAAGUUCUAUCAAUAUUUGAAUGUCCUGGACAUUUAGGGAACAUUCGGUGAACAUCUGUUUAAAUUAUUCCUGGAAUGUUACCAUAAGACAUUCUGUGAACAUACUACCAAUGUUCCUAUAUUUUAAGUUGCGAAAUAAUACAUACGUGUAAGAGAUACAACAUUACUUAUAACAUACCAGACAAACUAAGUGACAUUUUAGGCCUACAGUGCAAUAAUAUGUCAAAUUUAAAGAGUUUCCCAAGUUCAAUUAAUACAAUAAUAGGUCUGUUCCUUUGUUUUUUAGUGUUACACUUUUGAGUGUAAGUGUACGAAAUUCUAUGGACAUUUGAGUGUAAAAUGACAGCGGAUGUGACAGCGGCUCAUGACAGCGGACAGUAUUAAACGAAAAUUAUCGGUGUGCCAAUCAAGCAAAGGGACAAGGAACUUCCGAAUAUGGCCUAACUGGGGGCACAUAACAUAACAUAACCUAAUCCUAAUAUUUACAUUUGUAAAGAAUACUUAUCCUGUUUGUUUUUAUUGUCGAUUGUGCAGCGAAAUUGUGUGCAGCAAAUCAAAUAUAAAGUAGUUUAUCGCCUACAGAACUGAAUUAGUCCAUAGCAGUUAUCAGUUUUUCUUUCUUGGGAAGCUUAUACAUGUAACUUGUAUUGUUGUAAAUUGUGGGAGUAGGGCAGACAGGGAAAAGUCUUAUUUUGUACUGUUCCCAAGGCUCCCCAUGCAAUACAUUUAAAUGAAUUAUCCAAACAAAGCCGGGGACAAUGGAUAAAAGCCACAAGAAGAACAGAUAUAAGGGAACUAAAAUUAAAAUAUGAAAAGUAAACAUUUUAUAAGUGGAACAACCACCAGAUAUUUAAAAGGUAUAAAAAGAAGAAACUGCUGGAAUUUCAAAACAAAUGUGUUUGACUAGUAAAGAUUUGGAUAAAUAACAGGAGUUAUUUCAUGUUAAUUCUUAUUAAUUAUACACUUAAAUAUGUUUUUAGUCUCAGGAAGAUUUUAUAUUUGAUUAUUUUUGAAUAAACAUUAUUAUUAUUAUUACCUUAAUUUCCAUUAAAUAAAUUAACUGUAAUCAAUAAAGUAAUCGUUUAAUUGUUAAUAAAUUAUCAAGUAUGA